rnacentral:rRNA from 1 species
UACGGAGGGUGCAAGCGUUAUCCGGAUUCACUGGGUUUAAAGGGUGCGUAGGUGGGUUGGUAAGUCAGUGGUGAAAUCUCCAGGCUUAACUUGGAAACUGCCAUUGAUACUAUCAAUCUUGAAUACCGUGAAGGUCAGCGGAAUAUGUCAUGUAGCGGUGAAAUGCUUAGAUAUGACAUAGAACACCAAUUGCGAAGGCAGCUGGCUACACGAAUAUUGACACUGAUGCACGAAAGCGUGGGGAUCAAACAGG